GACGAACGCUGGCGGCGUGCCUAAUACAUGCAAGUUGAGCGCUGAAGGUUGGUACUUGUACCAACUGGAUGAGCAGCGAACGGGUGAGUAACGCGUGGGGAAUCUGCCUUUGAGCGGGGGACAACAUUUGGAAACGAAUGCUAAUACCGCAUAAAAACUUUAAACACAAGUUUUAAGUUUGAAAGAUGCAAUUGCAUCACUCAAAGAUGAUCCCGCGUUGUAUUAGCUAGUUGGUGAGGUAAAGGCUCACCAAGGCGAUGAUACAUAGCCGACCUGAGAGGGUGAUCGGCCACAUUGGGACUGAGACACGGCCCAAACUCCUACGGGAGGCAGCAGUAGUGAAUCUUCGGCAAUGGACGAAAGUCUGACCGAGCAACGCCGCGUGAGUGAAGAAGGUUGUCGGAUCGUAAAACUCUGUUGGUAGAGAAGAACGUUGGUGAGAGUGGAAAGCUCAUCAAGUGACGGUAACUACCCAGAAAGGGACGGCUAACUACGUG
rnacentral:rRNA from 1 species